rnacentral:ribozyme from 12 species
AGCAAAUGAAAAAAAGAAACAAUGGACUGAACGUCCAUUAUGUGGAUAUAUAUGUAUGAUAAAUGCUUGUAUGUAUCUUAUACCUCAUCAGUUUUUUCCU